AUUAGACGAAUCAUCUGGAAAGAUGAAUCAAAGAAGGUAAUAAUCCUGUAGUCGAAAAUGUUGUCUCUCUUGAGUGGAUCCUGAGUACGACGGAGCACGUGAAAUUCCGUCGGAAUCUGGGAGGACCAUCUCCUAAGGCUAAAUACUCUCUAGUGACCGAUAGUGAACCAGUACCGUGAGGGAAAGGUGAAAAGCACCCCGGAAGGGGAGUGAAAUAGAACCUGAAACCGUGUGCUUACAAGUAGUCAGAGCCCGUUAAUGGGUGAUGGCGUGCCUUUUGUAGAAUGAACCGGCGAGUUACGAUUUGAUGCAAGGUUAAGCAGUAAAUGUGGAGCCGUAGCGAAAGCGAGUCUGAAUAGGGCGUUUAGUAUUUGGUCGUAGACCCGAAACCAGGUGAUCUACCCUUGGUCAGGUUGAAGUUCAGGUAACACUGAAUGGAGGACCGAACCGACUUACGUUGAAAAGUGAGCGGAUGAACUGAGGGUAGCGGAGAAAUUCCAAUCGAACCUGGAGAUAGCUGGUUCUCUCCGAAAUAGCUUUAGGGCUAGCCUCAAGUGAUGAUUAUUGGAGGUAGAGCACUGUUUGGACGAGGGGCCCCUCUCGGGUUACCGAAUUCAGACAAACUCCGAAUGCCAAUUAAUUUAACUUGGGAGUCAGAACAUGGGUGAUAAGGUCCGUGUUCGAAAGGGAAACAGCCCAGACCACCAGCUAAGGUCCCAAAAUAUAUGUUAAGUGGAAAAGGAUGUGGCGU
rnacentral:rRNA from 1 species